AUGCUUGCAGGGAAUUUAAUGCAACGAUUGCCAAGAUCCGAAAAUGAUGAAGGAGAUGAUGAUUUAUAGUGGUUAGGUUUGGAUUAGAAUAGGUUUGGAGUUAGUUAUUGUUAGGUUAGGAGUUAGCGUAGGGAUCAGUUAGAAUGAACUCAGUGAGUUUUCUGUUGACUCACUGAGUUAGGAGUUAGUUAUAUGAUCCAUAAUUGGUUAAUUGAUUGGGUUUGGGUGAUUCCAAUAGUGACUGGUUGUAGCAGGUUGACUUCAAAGGGGUUUAUCUUUGAAGUUUUAAUUAUGACCUGUCAUUUAAUUGGCUUAGGUAAGUAGGUUUAAGUGUGACUUGCAACUGUGGGUUAAAACAUGUUUAGGUCUCUUACUUGUUUUGAUUUCUUUUGAACUGUGUUGCAUUGUGAGGGCUUGUUAAAUAGGGUGUUAUUGUGGCUUUGUGAAUGGAUUAAGGAAUAUGAGCUAAACUGAAAUAUGCUUGAAUUGCAGGGUUAAUGGGGUCUAUGGUGCAGCAAAGCAAUGGAUUAAUACUUGCUUACUUUUGCUAUAGCUAAUUUGGUUCAGUGGCAAUAGCUUAUUGACUUGCAGGCUAUACAUGGUUGUAGAAUGUUGUUACUCAGCAUUGACACAGGUGUGCAUCAAUAUCUUUUUUGAAGGAUUGGUGAUGGAAUGUGCAUAUAUGUUGUGGCUUGCUUGAUGUUGUAAGCCAGCAGGAUUUACAAGUUUAGCUGGCCUUGAAGCCUUUGCCUUGGGAAAUGAUGGUCUUCAUGCUGGUUAUCCUUCCUGCAUAGGAUUGAAGCUCAUUGGUUGAAUGUUGCUACUGGCUUGUGGUGCACUGCAGGUUUUGUCUUAUGGUUUGCCCACCUGUUAUGCCAUCAUGGUUAAAUACUGGCUGUUGAAUUGUUAAUGCAGGCUUGGUGUAUGAAGUGAAGUAAGUCCAAGUUGUGGUUUUGGUCAUCGUUUGUGCAGCAUAUCUAUGUUAAUUUCCUAGGGUUUCAGGAAUUUAGCUGGAGGGAUCCUGGCAUGAUGAUAGAUCAGUUGCCUGUUGCUAUCAUUGUCAAUUGAUGGAAAGGCCUGCAUCGUGAACUUGAUAUGUAAUUGUGCACUAAUGGCUUGAUGUUAAUGGUUCAGUUUGUUUUGUUGCCAUUAUUGGACCUGCAUCAAGCUAGUUACAAGUAUUGCUUUAUGAUGUUUGUCCAUUGUUUGCUUGGACUGAUGUGUAUCUCAUGGACUUGCUAUGGUAAGCUUUGGUUUUGUUCUUCUUUUUUAUGGUGUUAUUGCUCAAGUGUUAGUGUACAUACUCUAGGACAUGAUUCUGCAGCUAGGCAAAGUUGGGGCAAGUUCUCAAUGUUUUGGCAUAAUUCUGCAGGACUGCUCGUGUAAUGCACAUGAUUUUGCACAUGGACCAAAUUGCUUGAAAAUGAAUCAAUGCCAAGUGGGUUAGGUUAGAUUUUAGGUGGCCAAAAAUGGAGGAGUUGACUUUGGUCAAAGUUGACCAAAAAGUCAAUUGUUGACCAAAGUCAACAUUUGGUCAAAGUUGCAAAAAAUGUGUGUUUUUUCAUGUAAUGAUUAAUGUAAGGGACUGUAAUGGAUUAUAAGGGUUUGAAAUGGUUUAAAAAACGAAUUGAAAUUGGUUUCCAAAUUGGUUUGUUUUUGUACAUGUAUGCUUGAUUUUGAAAUGAAAUGAACAUGACUUGA